rnacentral:rRNA from 1 species
CCCUGAUCCAGCCAUCCCGCGUGUGCGAUGAAGGCCUUCGGGUUGUAAAGCACUUUUGGCAGGAAAGAAACGUCAUGGGCUAAUACCCCGUGAAACUGACGGUACCUGCAGAAUAAGCACCGGCUAACUACGUGCCAGCAGCCGCGGUAAUA